rnacentral:rRNA from 1 species
CGGGGAAUAUUGGUCAAUGGGCGCAACCCUGAUCCAGCCAUGCCGCGUGUGUGAAGAAGGCCUUUUGGUUGUAAAGCACUUUAAGCGAGGAGGAGGCUACUUGGAUUAAUACUCUAGGAUAGUGGACGUUACUCGCAGAAUAAGCACCGGCUAACUCUGUGCCAGCAGCCGCGGUAAUACAGAGGGUGCGAGCGUUAAUCGGAUUUACUGGGCGUAAAGCGUGCGUAGGCGGCUUCUUAAGUCGGAUGUGAAAUCCCUGAGCUUAACUUAGGAAUUGCAUUCGAUACUGGGAAGCUAGAGGAUGGGAGAGGAUGGUAGAAUUCCAGGUGUAGCGGUGAAAUGCGUAGAGAUCUGGAGGAAUACCGAUGGCGAAGGCAGCCAUCUGGCCUAAUACUGACGCUGAGGUACGAAAGCAUGGGGAGCAAACAGG